rnacentral:rRNA from 1 species
GACGAACGCUGGCGGCGUGCUUAACACAUGCAAGUCGAACGGAAAGGCCUGCUUUCCCUUGUGGAUUGCGGGUACUCGAGUGGCGAACGGGUGAGUAACACGUGAGUGAUCUGCCCCCAACUUGGGUAUAAGCCUGGGAAACUGGGUCUAAUUCCCGAUAGGACUGCAGGGUGGUGCCUGUGGUGGAAAACGAUUUUCUAGUGGUUGGGGAUGAGCUCGCGGCCUAUGAGCUUGUUGGUGGGGUAAUGACCUACCAAUGCGGGGACGGGUUGCCGGACCGGGAGGAGGGACGGCGACAGUGGGACUGGGAUACGACCCAGACUCCAACGGGAGGCAGGGGUGGGGAAUAUAGCACAAAGGGCGGAAGCCUGAUGCAGCGACGCCGCGAAGGGGAUGACGGCCUUCGGGUUGUAAACUCCUUUCGACCGCGAGGAAGCCACCUGGUUGGAAGGGUGUUGACGGUAGUGGUAGAAGAAGCACCGGCUAACUACGUG